rnacentral:lncRNA from 1 species
GUUUCAAUCAAGCUUAAAUCAAGAGUCCAAAUUUUGUGGGACUCUUCCUAGCCGCCGACCAGCCUUCUUUCUCCUGUGCAAACAAAUAUUUGUGUAAUAUUUUUUCUACCAAUCUAAGUUGUGUCAUCUCCUCUCUGAGUCCUUUAGUUGUGAAUUAAAUUUGGUUUGAAAAAAAAUUCAAAUUUGAUUUGAAUUUGCAAUAAAAUCAAGGGCUGUUUGAAGCUGAAUCAGAUUAUCCAAACUCUACAUGGGAUGCCACCUUUAAGAAGGAUGAGUUUUUGUGUGCCAAAACACUUCAGAUUUGGCAUGAGAAAAUCUCAGAGAAGGCAUGAGAGAUCUGAG